AUGGAGGUUCCGGAAGAUCGUAGAGUUCCUUUGGUCGCAUACAAGCUGAAAGGAGGAGCCGGUGCAUGGUGGCAUCGCGUUCAAGAGGAGCGCAGGCUGAGAGGAGAACCUCGUGUUAGAACUUGGCGACAAAUGAAAGGCCUCUUGAAAGGGAGAUUUUUGCCCGCUGAUUAUGACCAGAUCCUAUUUAUCCAAUUUCAAAAUUGUGCUGAAGGAAAUAGGGCUGUUUUAGAUUACACAGAGGAGUUUCUAAGGCUACAAGUGAGGUGCAACCUUGCUGAAACUGAAGAGCAACAAGUUGCAAGGUACAUCAAUGGUCUCAAUGAUGCUAUUCAAGAUCAAUUGAUGAUGCAACAAAUCUGGUCCGUUGAUCAAGCACAAGCUCUAGCCUUAAAGGCCGAGAGGUUUGUGAGGAUGAGAAAGACAACUAAGGCUCCAUAUCCCCCAUAUCCUCAUACCGAAGGCUCAUCUAGGAGCCAACCUAAUAGAGUGGAAGAAAAGACCACUCCACCAAAGACAAAACAGCCCAUCCCGAAGCAAACUAGAGGCAAGGGCAAGGCAAAUGAAGGCCCAAAGUGUUAUAAAUGUGGUAAAGAGGGACACAUAUCCAGCGGUUGCCCACUAAGGAAAUUUGUUAACACGACUAUCCAUGAUGGUGAAAGCGAUGAGGAAGAAUACGAAUAUGAAGAUGUAGACGGACAAGAGGUUUGUCAAGAAGAAGGUGAAGAGGUGGUAUGUGUGAUCCAGCGUGUCCUAUGUUCCACACCACAACUCGAUGACACACAUCGGAAGAAAAUAUUUGAGAGCAAAUGCACGGUCAAUGGCAAGGCAUGCAAACUAGUUAUUGAUAGUUGCAGCUGCGAGAAUCUUAUCUCCCAGAAGUUGGUGGACCAUUUAAAGCUUGAAACCCAUGAUCAUCCAAAUCCCUACACUAUUGGAUGGAUCAAGAAAGGAGUGAAUAUGAGGAUCACCAAACAAUGCAACCUGCCACUUUCUUUGGGUAAGCAUUAUCGCUCAAAUGUGUUGUGUGAUGUGGUUGACAUGGAUGCCGGCCAUGUUCUUCUUGGGAGGCCUUGGCAAUUUUAUGUGGAUACUACACACAAGGGCAAGGAAAAUUCUUACUCUUUCAUUUGGAACAAGAGAAGGAUCAUUAUCUUACCAAACAAAACCGAAGGUAAUACCUCUAAGGAGGAGGAGAAAACUAUGUUAACUAUCUCCCAUACCUCUCAUGAGUUUAUGGAAGACUUGAACGAGGCAGAUUUGUGUGCUGCACUUGUUAUAAAGGGAGAAGAGCACCUGACUGUUGAAAUUCCAGCGAAGGUACGUGGUUUAUUGGCAGAAUUUCAGAACAUACUUGGGGAGCCACAUGGCUUGCCACCGAUGAGAGGAAUUCAACAUAGAAUUGACUUAAUUCCGAGAGCAAGUCUUCCUAAUCUUCCACACUAUCGAAUGAGCCCAAAGGAGCAUGAUAUAUUGAAGGAGAAAGUGGAGGAAUUGUUGCAAAAGGGGCACAUUCGAGAAAGUAUUAGCCCAUGUGUUGUACCAACCCUACUCGCGCCAAAUAAAGAUGGAUCUUGGCGCAUGUGUAUGGACAGUAGAGCCGUUAACAAGAUCACCGUAAGGUAUAGAUUCCCUAUUCCCCGUCUGGAUGAUUUUUGGAUCAGCUUAGUGGAGCAAGAGUGUUCACAAAGCUAG
rnacentral:rRNA from 1 species